rnacentral:misc_RNA from 1 species
GUUUGCUUCAUUCUUCUGACCAGGAUUUCACCCGAACUGGGCCUAUAGUGAAUAGAGGGAAGAAGAAAGAGGUGUUACUUGAUGAUGUAGGAAGUGCUUGCAUGAGAGUUGUAUCAACCGUGGGUAACAAUUCAUUAGGUGGAGCUAAGGGGAAAAGAAGCGAGAGAGAAAGGGAUAAAGAUAUGUCAGCUAGGUUAUGUGUUACCAAAG